rnacentral:tRNA from 1 species
CGUGCCGGUAGCGCGCGGCCAGCGCCGGGUCCUUCGUCCGCACCUCGAUCCGGCUCUCGGGGCGAUCGCCGCCCUCCGCCGGCGGCGGCGGGU